AAGUGUACUAAAAGUCAUGUAUGAGCGGAGCUUAUCUGAUGUCAGCUAGUUUUAAACAACGACUGCAGAUAUAUGUCAAUAUUUUGCCCUCACUGCGCGUCGGGGCAGGUUGGGUAAUCUGGAGGUGUCACUACUGACUGACUACUGGCAUUAUCUAGUAGAAUAUUGAAGUGGGCGAUGGAAUAAUCCUGGUCUCUUAAGAGCCAGGUUUGAUUCCUACAUGGUCGCACUGUGUAAAGCUCAUUUCUGGGGUACCUCGCCGUGAUAUACCUAGAAUGUUGCUGAAUUUGGCGUGAAAGCAUACCCACGUUCUCUUAGUUGAGCUACUACUCUCAACCCCGGAAAUAUAGUCACCGGAGGAAGACUUCGCCAGCAGCUUGUGGCACGCUGGGUAUCUAGUACACUCUUCACUGUGUUGGUGAUUCAGCUCGUCUGCUGUGGAACCAGUGCGAAGGUCUGCAGUGAAUCAAGGUGUACUUUGUGUAAAAGUGGCACAUGCGAGGAGUGUUUGUAUGGGUACUGGGGGUACCAGUGUGAACACGCCUGUGUCAGCUGCUGGUUGGGGGGCUGCCAUAAACAGACAGGGCGGUGUCAUCAGUGUCUUCCUGGACGAUACACCGAGGGUUGUGACACACUCUGCCCCACUACCUGCCGUCUAAGCUACGACAACGUGAGGAACUGUCACCGGACCAGCGGCAAGUGUCUGGAAGGAUGUGCUGAAGGAUGGUGGGGGUCCACGUGUAACGAAACGUGCGGUCAAGGAUGUAAGAAGAAGGCUUGUUACCAGGAGGACGGUGUCUGCAUAUCUGAUUGUAUGGAAGGGUGGCAUGGACGUAAAUGUGAUAAACAUAACUGUCUGAAUAAACACAAGUCUGGCCGGUGCAUUGAUGGCUGCAAGGAUGGUUGGACAGGUGAAGGCCUGCAGUGAGAGGUGUGGCGCUGACUGCAUGAAAUGCCAUCAGUUCUCCUCAGCAUCGUGCCUCAUGUGCAAAGCAGGGCUUUACGGCCCCGACUGCCAGUCUGAGUGUUCGGCGAACUGCGUGAACACUACAUGUAACAUGGCAGGACAGUGUGAAAAUGGUUGUAUGACUGGAUUCCACGGCAAGAAAUGCGAGAUGGCGUGUCCGUACAGAUGUCUUGACUGUGACCAGACUUCGGGCACCUGCAGAAGGUGCGAGAUCGGAUGGACGGGCCCCCAGUGUCUCGAUCAGCCGGUCUCUUAUGCUACUUACCAGCCAGAUACACCAGAGUUAACGAAUGGCUGCAACCAAAUGGCAGAGGUUAAAUUAACAACAAUUGCGAUGGUGUUGUCAGCAGUUCAUCACAUGAGCAGCGUCCUUGAACGUUAAAAGUUGCCAGUGUAUUAGCAUACAUAAUGGGUUAUAUUUUUUAAAAAUAACAAUGCAAACUUAGGUAAUUUGCCAUCUCAGUGGCACAAAACUAUAUCCAUUUUUGAGAUAUCCGUGAGAUAGCGAUCUUGGGUUUGGAUACAUUUACCAUCCAUUUGCACAAAGUGAUAAUAUGUCGAGAUUAUCUUGACAAUCAAAUAAUAAUGACGUUUAAGAGUGGGUCUGUUUCAAAGGAAUAAUGUGUACCACAUUGAAGGAUUGCGUUCAUUUUCUGUGUGAUUCAAACGACCCAGUGGCAACUCAGAGAAGGACUUAUCACGUGAAGGAACAACAAAACGAUAACUUACAAUGUAAUUUCCGCCCGACCCCAUAAUUAGAGAACUGUAGUAUGGCCUACAUUUUAAUGGGUUAUUCUAAAGACAUAACACAUUGUUAGAUGUUAGCUAUGUAUAUAGCCGUUAUACACCAUAUACCACCAAGUUAUCUCCGAUUGUUCUAUAUUGUGCUCUUAUUUUAUUUUUCUUCCUGAUUACAAGUCUUGAAUAUUAAUAAAGUUAAGCUGAGUUAUUGUUUCAAACUUGUGUUUUUUCUGCUUUAUUCCUCGUUGUAGUUGGAUCUGUCACAUCUUGCCUUGUUUGUUGACACCUUGAACAUGGCUGGAUGCUACUGUGAGUUGGACAGCGUCUGCUGUCACCUGAUUCAUGUCACGUCACAAUUGGAUUUCUUUCGCUAAGAAUCUUUUCAGUAUCACAUUACAUGUAUCCAUUUUUACUUUUUGUAAAAAUGUUGUGUUUUUGAAUUUGGAGUUAGUAACAACAUUGUUUGGGUUAAUUAAGGUAUGAUGCGAAAAAAUCCAAAUACAAUUUAGGUUAUGCGUAAAUUUAUCUACUUAAACUAUGUUGUUCUGACUGUUAGAUGAUUGGAAGAUGGACGAUUAAAAUCGACAGCAGCCAGGUAACUAAACGAACAAACGCCAGUCUAACUGUGAUGAAAUGUUACAGCCGAACGUUGUCAUUUAUAUAAGAUAUACGCAUGUUGAAAGAUGGCGUUAGAGUUCUAUUUUACAUUAACUGCGUAGAAAAAUAGUAUAACUUCGACAACACUAUAAAGGUGACCUGUUGCAUGCCUAUAAACACGAUUACGGUGCAUGGAGUCACCGAUACUGUGAUGAAUACAAUGCGUAACUCACAAAGACCCCUUUGACAGAUUGUAAUCAAAACCCGCUUAAACUCACGCCUCAACUCUGGAAAUACCCAUUCCCUGGCGUAAUGAUCUAUAUAUAGAUACAGUGUAUGUACAGGUCUUUCUUUGCUUCUCACGUCAUCAGGGUGACAAAAGGUUUCUGUCUAGUACAGACAAUAAAACUACUAGACUCCCCCCCUCUCCCCUCCAACCCUAAGCUAUGAACUGAUCCUAAGUGCUAGAUGUCUUUUACCAAAGUAUACUGUAUAAUUUUAUACACUACCUUCAUGAAUAAAACUGGGGUCUGUCGUUUGUUGCUAGGGUCUUUUGGUUCUCUUAAUGGGAAAUGGAAUUUAAGGUGACUUCAGUCAAGAUAUCAUGUCGUCCAUUCUGGAAUCUGAUGUCGGCACCUUUCUGUUUUGGUCUUGUGGACUGUGGUAGGGAGCACUGUCCAGUCCUUACUCAGAGGUAAACGGGAAGUAGCUGUGUCUCCACCCAUUCCAGAAAGACAUGAGUAGUAUAGCAUAGGUCACAAGACGGUACUUUUUUGUUGAGGGGAGGUUAAGGGAAAUUCAUUGGCUGAUCCAAGUCACGUGGUCAUAGCUGAUGCAUAGGUAAAUGUAGGCUGUAAGGCACAGGUCGGGAAAGGUCGAUGAAAGGUGGUUGUUUUAAUGCAGUCAUGCAAUCUUGUAGAAAACCCUUUAUAAGACGUGAAAAAAAGCAAAGUGUAAUGAAUAGAGCUAUGUAUAAUGUGCUGACCUGAAUAGACAGACAGUAUUUGUCAGCCUGGUUUGAAUUCAGCGCGUUUCUCUGCAGUUUCAUCUUGUCCUGCUACACCUACACCCAUCUACACCUGCUUCCAGAUGCGUUGUGAGCCUACAUUUUGCCACUCCUCGGCUUCCAUAUCAGAGAAUGUUGGCUUCCCACAAGGAGGUUUGACGGCAGGAUCACUGCCUUUCUGGGAAGAGGCUAGGUCGUCAUAGUCACUGUCAUUGUCAUCACUCUCAAGUCUGGCGCGCUUUCUCUUAGGUUGAAGGCUAUUGGCUCGACAGCAAUGUUUGAUAUGUCACUGUAGAUCGUGCAUGUUAUAUAUCAGCACCCGCAAUCUGCACAAGCCGUGGCCAUAGUCAAUGAUGUCUCACUACUCGUGUCUGAAUCAGUUUCAAUUUGAGUCAGCUGAUGUUGGGGCAGUCUCUCUUCUUGAGUCAGAGGACUAUCCAGAGAUUCUGUUGUAGUCAACUUGUCCCUAGGCAGAUCAGGUUCAGACUGAGCUUUGACUUGCCCAUUUUCCUCGUUUAUGAGAUUGACCUGCAGUCGAUCCUUAUCUUUGGUGGUAGGUUUAAGAUCAAUGAUGAAUUGUCCAUAGGGUGUUUCAGCAGCCUCUUCAUACAUUGCCAUAAAGUGAUCCAUAUGUUCGGGGAAUUAAUGUAUCGCCACCUGUCAAUCAAACAAAUGACAUGACCAACGAGAAACGUCAAAUUAUUCAAUCCGCAUCGCGUUGCCGUCAGCUGACAGCUGACCACCAUUUUGUCCGACAUCAGCGGUCUGGCGGACUUUUCAAAAAUAAAUCGACGUUCACAGUCAACUUUUUGAUCAUGGUGAAAAGGUGUAGCUGGGGUACCUGCAACUCGGACACGCGGUACCCGGAACGUCUUGCUGGUGGUAUCACGUUUAUUCCAUUUCCCAAGCCUGCCAGAAAUUUUGACAAAUGUCAACGAUGGAUACGUUUGUGUGGUCGCCCCAAGUAUCAACUGAAACAUGGACAUACUUCGUGACCACAGCCGAGGAAAACAUUUCUUCGUAUGUACAAAGCACUUUGUUGAUGGAAAACCCUCCAAGACAUUUCCGGACCCUGCGUCUGCACUACCUCAUGAACAAAAUGAAAAUCCAAAGACAGUAAGACCACGACCCAAACCACGCUUGCCAUUUAUGGGGGACGGGAAAAGGAAAGUUCUUCUUGAAACACACAGAUGUAAUCAUGAUACAGAUAUUUCUGAUUCACCAAAUCAGACGGAUAUGGAACAUCCAGAGCCUACAACCAUGCAGCAGGAAUCUGAUAUUCUUGUCCAACAAAGUGGCACCAUGGGUCCUCUGCCACUGG